UACGUAGGGCGCAAGCGUUGUCCGGAAUUAUUGGGCGUAAAGAGCUCGUAGGUGGCUUGUCACGUCGGGUGUGAAAGCUUGGGGCUUAACUCCAGGUCUGCAUUCGAUACGGGCUGGCUAGAGGUAGGUAGGGGAGAACGGAAUUCCUGGUGUAGCGGUGAAAUGCGCAGAUAUCAGGAGGAACACCAAUAGCGAAGGCAGCUCGCUGGGACGUUACUGACACUAAGGCGCGAAAGCGUGGGGAGCGAACAGG
rnacentral:rRNA from 1 species